rnacentral:ncRNA from 1 species
AUGGCUAGUCCAUUUCGGCCGUACAUUUUGGUUUUAAACAAAAAUUCUUUGUGGCCACAUUCGUUACCCCGCAUGUAAAGAUAUUUGAAAAACUUCGGGACUAACUGCCCCUAAUACAUACAGCAGAGCACCGAUUCUCAGAGAAAGAGCGCUUUUAUUAGAUCAAAAGCAAUCAGACCACGUGUCCAUAUUACGUGUUGACUCUGAGUAACUUUUUGUUGAUCGCACGGGCGUAUCCGACGUAUCUUUCAAGUGCCUGCCUAAGGUAACUGCCGAUGGUAAGUUACGUGCUUAUCGUGGCUGUAACGGAUGACGGGGUAUCAGGAUUCGAUUCCGGAGAAGAAGACUGAGAAAGGGCUACCAAUUCCAAGGAAGGCAGCAGGCGCGUAAAUUCCCCAUUCCCCAAACGGGGAGGUAGUGA